rnacentral:misc_RNA from 1 species
AAGUCGUAACAAGGUUUCCGUAGGUGAACCUGCGGAAGGAUCAUUAACGAAUCAAACAAGUUCAUCUUGUUCUGAUCCUGUGCACCUCAUGUAGUCCCAAAGCCUUCACGGGCGGCGGUUGACUACGUCUACCUCACACCUUAAAGUAUGUUAACGAAUGUAAUCAUGGUCUUGACAGACCCUAAAAAGUUAAUACAA